AGAGCGAACGCUGGCGGCAGGCUUAACACAUGCAAGUCGAGCGGGCGUAGCAAUACGUCAGCGGCAGACGGGUGAGUAACGCGUGGGAACGUACCUUUUGGUUCGGAACAACACAGGGAAACUUGUGCUAAUACCGGAUAAGCCCUUACGGGGAAAGAUUUAUCGCCGAAAGAUCGGCCCGCGUCUGAUUAGCUAGUUGGUGAGGUAAUGGCUCACCAAGGCGACGAUCAGUAGCUGGUCUGAGAGGAUGAUCAGCCACAUUGGGACUGAGACACGGCCCAAACUCCUACGGGAGGCAGCAGUGGGGAAUAUUGGACAAUGGGGGCAACCCUGAUCCAGCCAUGCCGCGUGAGUGAUGAAGGCCCUAGGGUUGUAAAGCUCUUUUGUGCGGGAAGAUAAUGACGGUACCGCAAGAAUAAGCCCCGGCUAACUUCGUGCCAGCAGCCGCGGUAAUACGAAGGGGGCUAGCGUUGCUCGGAAUCACUGGGCGUAAAGGGUGCGUAGGCGGGUUUUUAAGUCAGGGGUGAAAUCCUGGAGCUCAACUCCAGAACUGCCUUUGAUACUGAAGAUCUUGAGUCCGGGAGAGGUGAGUGGAACUGCGAGUGUAGAGGUGAAAUUCGUAGAUAUUCGCAAGAACACCAGUGGCGAAGGCGGCUCACUGGCCCGGUACUGACGCUGAGGCACGAAAGCGUGGGAGC
rnacentral:rRNA from 1 species